GGCAGUGUAGCCCAGUGGUACAGUACUGGACUCCCGAUCGGGAGGUCGUGCGGGUUCGAAUCCCUCCACGGGCA
rnacentral:tRNA from 1 species